GAUGAACGCUGGCGGCGUGCUUAACACAUGCAAGUCGAGCGAGUGAGUUCUUCGGAACGAUCUAGCGGCGGACGGGUGAGUAACACGUGGGCAACCUGCCUCAUAGAGGGGAAUAGCCUCCCGAAAGGGAGAUUAAUACCGCAUAAAAUUAUCGAGUGGCAUCACAUGAUAAUCAAAGGAGUAAUCCGCUAUGAGAUGGGCCCGCGGUGCAUUAGCUAGUUGGUGAGGUAACGGCUCACCAAGGCGACGAUGCGUAGCCGACCUGAGAGGGUGAUCGGCCACAUUGGGACUGAGACACGGCCCAGACUCCUACGGGAGGCAGCAGUGGGGAAUAUUGCACAAUGGGGGAAACCCUGAUGCAGCAGCGCCGCGUGAGUGAUGAAGGUCUUCGGAUUGUAAAGCUCUGUCUUUGGGGACGAUAAUGACGGUACCCAAGGAGGAAGCCACGGCUAACUACGUGCCAGCCGCCGCGGUAA
rnacentral:rRNA from 1 species